rnacentral:rRNA from 1 species
UACGUAGGGUGCAAGCGUUGUCCGGAAUUAUUGGGCGUAAAGAGCUCGUAGGCGGUUUGUCGGGUCUGCUGUGAAAACUCGGGGCUUAACUCCGGGCCUGCAGUGGGUACGGGCAGACUAGAGUGAUGUAGGGGAGACUGGAAUUCCUGGUGUAGCGGUGAAAUGCGCAGAUAUCAGGAGGAACACCGAUGGCGAAGGCAGCCCCCUGGGAUAACACUGACGCUCAUGCACGAAAGCGUGGGGAGCAAACAGG